rnacentral:misc_RNA from 1 species
GAUGAAGAACGCAGCGAAAUGCGAUAAGUAGUGUGAAUUGCAGAAUUCAGUGAAUCAUCGAAUCUUUGAACGCACAUUGCGCCCCUUGGUAUUCCAUGGGGCAUGCCUGUUCGAGCGUCAUUUGUACCUUCAAGCUUUGCUUGGUGUUGGGUGUUUGUCCAUUCUCUUGCAGAGGGACUCGCCUUAAAGUAAUUGGCAGCCAGUGUUUUGGUUUUGAAGCGCAGCACAAGUCGCGAUUCAACGCUAUACGCCAGCUUCCACAAGCCUUUUUCACUUUUGACCUCGGAUCAGGUAGGGAUACCCGCUGAACUUAAGCAUAUAAUAAGCGGAGGA